rnacentral:lncRNA from 1 species
GUCGAGUCCUGCCACACCACCUGCGUGUAGUGGCCGCAGACCUGGCCGUCAGCGCACGAGUUGCUGUCGUAGUCGUAGUACUGCUUCUCGUCGACCCAGCUGUUGACGGCGUCGAUUCCGGUGAAUUCCGUGCUGCUGCCCCCGAAGAGGUUCUCCCCGUAAGGCCCGCCGGAGUGCACGAGCUGGCAGUCGCCGAUGCGCUGGUUGGCGUAGUUCUGCGCGUACGCGGCGACGUUGUCGUCCCACGACACGGGGCCAACGCCGACGGCCGCCCGGGCCGAGUUGUGGGCGUCCACGAAGUCUUGGGGGGAGUUCUGCGCGAGGGUGGUGCAGGCCAUGGCCAAGGCCAUAGCACACACCAAAGCCGAAGCGUAAUUUGCCGACCUCAUUAUCUCUUCCUCUCUCUCACUCUAGAUGGGAUAAACGUUUUGUGGCAAGGAUAGCGUUGGGGUUGUGGUAUUUAUUGACGAUGAACGGUGCAGAAAUCAACAUCUAUGUGGACAAAAGCUUUGAGUAGAAUCGUCAAAGUGGAUCGCCAGUUUUUUCUACAGCUGAUUUGUCGAUUGUAUGUUUGCAUUGAUUGAUCGAGAAGAUAGACGAAGAACAGUAUUGAUCUUAUCAACGUAAGUCUAUGCAAACCAAUUUUUAGGUUUUGGAGGCGACAUCUACAUCCCUAACCAACAAGAUGUUACAGCUUGACUUGUCAAAAAUGCACAGUGAUGGAAGGAGGACGUGAAGCGAUUGAAUGAAAGAAAGUGAGUUCUCUAGGAUUUCUAGAUAGAAUGAAAGAAAAUAUAUCAAUUAUUCGAGAUUUAUAUAUGGGGGUAUAUAUAGAGAUUAUGCCCGAGUGAGAGUUGUUAAAUCAUGUUAAAUAUUUCUUUAAUUUUCUAUCGAUCUCUACAAUUUCUAAUAAUCCGAGAAGUCCUCUCUCCCUUUCCAACACUUAGAUAUGCCUGCUUAAGGCAGUAGUGUCUUGUAUUUACCCAAUGACUCUCAUGUCUGCCCUUAAAACUCUUUACUUACUGACAUUAACAUGCUUCAAGAAUCCAUUGUGAAGGUAGAAUCACAUGUGACAGACAUGUACUUCUCUCCCAACAUCUUCGGGUGUUUCUUUUCGUCUUGUGCGAUUCAUGGAGAUAAACGCCGCGCAACGCAGUUGAGUCCUUCGUCUUGCGUACGUGAUCCGUGGCAACGUCAUGCAUCACACCACGGUGCCCAUCUCGUGCUACUCGUCACCGACCACCGUGAUGCAUACCCUAAUCUAGCUUAAUCAAAUCGGACAAGAAGUAAUGUGUGUGGCGACUCCAAACUCUAAAACCUAUGCUCGAGUCAUGACUCGCCAACCGAAGUCAACUCAAGUCGUCGCAAGUGGCGAGAUCCGUCCAGAACGCCGGCCCGUUGCGUCCAUCACCAGUCAAUACCAAUUCAGACACGAUUCACAUCGACUCUUGCGUGCGUCGCCCGGAACGGAAAUAUCUCGGACGAGUUCACAAGCAGAGCCCAAGUCGCGACCUGAGUCGUAGCUUCGGUCUACCACCCAUGCCAUCGUCACCGGUCAAUGCCUGCUUCCCUCCACGACUCUUCCAUGUAUCCACCUAAAGCACCAAGGCAUAUGCGAUGGCAAUCGAUUCCUCGGCAGCGCAUAGCAUCCGCCAUGAAACUUCGCCGGGGGUUGACGAAACGCUCGAGUUGGCCAAACAAAAGAACAUACAGUGCUUGAGAGAAGCCAAGACUCUCCGGUCUGCAUCACAAGCAUCGGGUGUCGCAGCACGAAUCAUGAAGUGUCAGAUGGAAAGAUGUCCUUGUAUUACUUACUGUUGAGAAUGUGAUGAUGCAGCUCACAAGAAAUAUGCUUCCAAGUGUUCGAGGAAAGCUGAUUGCUGCCCCAACAUCUAUGCAGCAGCGCAUAGAUUAACUGCUUGUGAUCGAACAAGUUGUUCUCGUAGAACCUUGAUAUGUAUAUAUGUCAUCACGACUUCCACACGACUUAAUGAUGCGCCUACUGGCUAUGUACACGUACAUUGACAAAGCAGAUCACAAGUAUGCAUUUCUCGCGUACUAAAAGAAAGGCCCACCGUAUUGAUCUGACAUUGUUCAUUUCAUGAAACUGCUCGAUUGACACUUUAAGCCCAAAACUCGAGUGCAUAUCAUGGCAGAUUAGGGCUGAUCCUUCAAAUUAAACUCGAGUGCAUGAUAAGAAUCCGAAUCAAUUUGUUUUUGAAUGAUCGCUCUCUGUCCAAGAUUUUGUUGAAUGAUUUGGUAAUGUGGUUGAAGAACUGAUUCUCAUUUUCUGCAAUGAGCGUCAAAAAAAAAAAAAAGGGGGAAACAACCGAAGGGAUAAGUACAUAUUACCCCUGUAAUUUCAUAACAUUAUAAAUUUAAUCCAAUGAAAUUAUGUUUUUAGUCUUAAUAUUUUACUUUUGUAAGUAUAGUGAUUCCAACUGAUGUUUUGAGAGUACAAGAGACUUGACGCUAAAAAUAACUAAUUACAAAAGAUAAUUUAUAAUUAAUUAAAAUAUUUUUAAAAUAUAAGCAGUAGAAAAAGUGGAAAUAAAGGAUCCUAUUUCUUAUAACUCAUGCUGUUUCUGAUGGAAAAACAGGGAAAAACUAUCCUAUUUCUUAUAACUCAUACGUUGUACAUGUUGGAUUUACGUUUUGAAACUGGAAUUUUCUUUAAAAAUAUUUUUAGUAGUUAUAUAUGUAAAUAUAUGUUUUUUUGGAUUGGUCGGAACCUUUACAAAAUUUUUAAGAUAGUCCUAAACAACCAAAUUAACUUAUUUAGAAAUUUAAAAUGAUUACCAAAUUAACUUAUUUAGAAAUUUAAAAAUUACUUUUACCAAAAUGGAUUUAAGAGAGCAAUAAUGAACCUACUAUGGUGAACAUAAUAUUUUAAUGAUUUACCUUUGUGUUGAUGAUAUUAUAUAUAUGUUCAUCUAAUUUUUUUGUGACAGAAUUUAAUAAAUAUAUGAUUAAUAAGUUUGAAAUGCCAGGUCUUUUGCAUUAUUAUUUUGGUAUAUGUUUGAUAAAUGCAAGAUAUUUUAGAAGUUUAGUUAGAGGUUUGAUUAGUAUUCAAAUUUAUGCAUAACCCAAGCAAACAUCAUCUUGGAGCUAUUAAAAGAAUUCUGAAUUAUAUUAUUGAAACUACAUGACAUUUGGUAUUCUCAUAAUUUUAAAUAUAAAUUAUUUGGUUUCACUAAUAGUAAUUGGGCAGGAGCUUUAGAUGAUAGAAAGAGCACUUCAUGCAAUAUUUUUAGCCUAAGAUCAGAAGCUACAUCUUAGAAUUCAAAAAAAGCAAACAACAAUUGUGUUGUCGAAAUUGGAAGCAUAUAUAGCUGCAACAUCAAUAGCUUAUCAAGCAAUAUGACUUAGAAAACUUUUUGAAGAUUUUCAUUAAGAACAAAAUGAAGCAACAAAAAUAUUUUGUGAUAACAAAACCAUAAUUGUACCGAUGAAGAAUCCAACAUUUCAUGGAAGAAUGAAACAUAUAGAGAUAUAUUAUCAUUUCAUCCGAGAUAUUGUAGCAAGUGUAGCCCAAUAAAGUAUUAUUGAAUAAAUGAAUAAGUUGUGGAUAUCCUCAUCAAGUUACUUCUAGUUCAGAAGCAUGUUUAUUUCAUGUCUCAAAUCGGUGUAUGAAACUAUGAAUCAAGGGGGAGCGUUGAAAAUUGAUCCAUGAUAAUUAUCUAGGUAGUCAUCAUGUUCUAGGCAUGUUAUAAGUAGUGGCCCAUGAUAUAGGAGUUAUGGGGGUAGUGCUUGUAGAGAAAUCUAAGGGUGACAUCACAUGCGUAGCGAAAAAACAUAAAACAAAAAUCCUAAAUUUUUUAAAAGGUGUUUAUUAUAGUGGGAAGAUUGAUAUACAAAAACUAGUGAAACUAAAAACCACAUGGGAGAUAGUUGUAUAAUCUAGAGAGAUCGUAUAUCCUUGAAUUCAUGCAGAUAUCUGGGAGAGGAUGAAGGAGGUUAAACACCCUCCUCUCUAGCGGUGAUCCACAUGACAAGGGUUGUGAAAAUGCUCCUCGAAUUACUACCCAAAUCUCUAUACCUGUUGGUUGAGGAGAGUGGAGAAAGGGAGAGAAGAAUAGGAGGUGACAGCCAAGAAGCCUAGCUUAUGACCCUUUAGUUCUCUCCUAUUUAUAGAGGCCCCCUAUCAACUUAACCUUAAUAGAUCUUACCCUAUUUGGUAUUAGAUCUUCAUCCAACUAUCUAAGCCUCUUAGAUUAGUGGAUCUCUAUCCAAUAAUCUCUUAUUAGCUCUUAUUAGAUCUCAUCCACAUGAUAUAAUAAUUUAGGGGCUUAUUGGAUAUCCAAUAAGAUAGAGGCUCUGUUGGAUAUCUCAUAUCAAAACCUCUACUCGUCGCAACACCUACCAUAUAUAUGUGACCAUUUAGGCCUAAUAUCGAGCUGGUCGUGAGUCAUACUUAUCAAAACUCCAUCUUACUCAAUUAAUUAUUAUCUUCAUAAUAAUUCACUCGACUCAUUGACUGUGGAUGUACUAUGCCACUACGCCGCAGUCCCCAGACGAUACAUGGAAAUCCAAUCCUUUAAACAUAUAUGUCAUUAGUUACUACGUACAUAUAAUCCCUCAUUCAUCUAAUAUCCCAAUGAUUAUACAUCGGGCAUGGUGCUGUUAGGCCUAUACGGUUUCUCCUCGAGUCACACUCUAAUCAAAUUCUCCCGGAGAACUCUUGCUCUCUCAAUCCGAAUGACCUUGGCAAAGGAUUUAUCUAAGUAAGAACACAUGAGAGCGGAUGAUCCUCUAUCGACACUUAAUAACCCUCAAAAGGUUGGUUGUCACUCUUGAUAAUCGACUGUGCUAGAUCUAGAACUUCAAAAACCUAUAAGUCUAGUACCAAAGAGCUGAGUAUUUAUACAGGACAUCCUUGGUGUCUCAAGUUUAAGGACAAGUACACCAUUGGAACGACGAAAUCAUUGUCUAAUGAUGAUAUAUCAUCAACCAUCUAGCAUUCCUUGAGUGGAUCAAUGAACUCAUUCUCUAAUUAGUACUUGCACUGUAGCCUUAAUGUCCCAAUACAAGUAACUAUUAGACUACCUACCUCCAUCAUAUAGAUGGGCAUACAACAUACAUGUGACGUAACACACAUUCUUUUUGCUUAUUAUUAUUAUGAUAUUUUCUCACUUUAUAUUGCUUGAUAUAUAUAUAUAUAUCACUCACGUAAUUUACUUAUAGGACACCUAUAACUAGCAGUGCCUACACUUAAUCAUGGGGUGAUAUGAUGGGUGAGAUUGUUACCACUAGGUCCUAUAAAUAGGAUCAUAGUUCAUGAAGCAAGAUGGAGUGUGUGCAUUUAGGAAUAUCUUGUAAGUAUUCUAUGUCUUACCUAUUGUUUAAUACUAUAUCGGUUUUCUUGAUUGAAAGUAUUCUUUUUAAUUGCAUCGUAGGAUUCUAUUUUUAUCAUUUCCUUACUCCUCCAUCCCCAACAUCGUUGACCUAGCUGUUGACGACGUCGGCUACAAUGAAGUCGGCGCCGGAGCCCUAGAAGAGGUUCUCCUCGUAAGGCCCGUCGGAGUGCAUGAACUAGCAGUCGCUUAUGUGAUGGUUGGCAUAGUUUUGUGCGUACGCGAUAAUGUUAUCAUCUCAUGACACAGGGCCAACACCAACGAUCGCCCGGGUCGAGUUUGGGCAUUCACAAAGUCUUGGGGGGAGUUCUACGCUAGGGUGGUGUAGGCCAUGGCUAAGGUCUUAGCACACACUAAAGCUGAAGUGUAAUUUGCUAACCUCAUUAUUUCUUCUUCUCACUCCAAAUGGGAUAAUAAAAAUUUUGCAGGGAGAGCAUUAGGGUUGUGGCAUUUAUCAUCGAUAAACGAUGUAGAAAUCAAGAUCUAUGUGGGCAAAUGCUUUGAGUAGUGAUAGUGUCAUGAGAAUCGUUGACCGGUAAGUCGACACAGUUGGUUCACUAUUGAAGGUGUAAGUUUAUCCUUAUGUUAUCCUCCAUGUUGAUGUGGGAGUGCUGACAUGGCAAACUGGCGUAGGAGGUUAUCAAGAGAGGCGGUUCGCUAAGGUCGAUCUAGCCUAAAAGCAGUGAGAAUGGGUAGAGGAAUUAGGAUUUGCUCAACUGUGAGGUCCUCUCUUCGGACGGAUGGGUUGUCCUUUGGUUGAAGGGUUGCCUCGUGACCGUGAGGUUACACAUAGCAACGAAGUCAUCUCCUGACCACCAGUGGUUCUAUACAACAGGUCUAUGAUGGGAGCUUCCCAGCUCGACCCCUCCGAUACUUAAGUUAGCGAAUGGUGGAUAUGGAAGAAGACAAUAAUAUCAUGUGUGUAAAUGAAAGAGUAAAGAUGUUAUUACCUACUCGACUCCCCUAACGUCUGCUCGAGAUUAGUUUUUAUAUCUCUCUACAAAUUGAUCGUCCGUAGGUCUUUAACAUCCAUCCAUAUUUUAAACAACAAAGAUGUUGGCUCGUUGGCUGAGAGGUUGCGUUGGUGCCAAGAGUUGAGAUGCAGUGAAUGAUGUUGAUCCGGAAAGCUCUUUACAGGUUUAUCUUCAUGCGCAAGUCAACGUGGAUCAUACAAUAUAAAUAACGUGAAAGCUGGCAACUUUUGCGAAUCUCAUGCGAUCUUCUUAGCGACAAUGUUUUAUGGCAUGGAUAUUCUCUCGGUAAUUCACGGAUGCUAAUGCGUACAGCAGCAGCCAACUCUUUCGCCUUGUAUACCGAACGCGAAUUAAUUAGCUUAAAUUUGCCUUUGAGAAUUUGAGUUGCGUUUCCGAAGGAGAAAGAGAAAGAAAAGAAGAGUUGACGCCAUCGAUAAUUGGCCUAAAGUGGCGGACCUCAACUUGACAAGAUCGAUAACGUUUCCUUGAAGCAUCCUUUCCGUCCGGGCAAAUUGGGACGCCGGUCAAAUGCAGAAACGUCACGCGAUUUGAGUUUAGAAUGGGAAACCAAAUAACCAAAUCGGGUUGGCUCCACAAUCGCCAUCAAAUGAUGUCAUGAUGAAUGGUAUCGAUCUACAUCUUCUUUCUAAACGUGCCUUCAUGUUCUUUAACAUUUUAGCUUUUGUCAUGAAGUAAGGUUCCAUGCAUCUGGAAGCACAGGUUGCAUUAAAGAUAAGCUGCAUCCAUGUUCUUUGUAUGACACCAGAUCACUCAAUCAAUCCAGUGACGUGAAAAUGGUUUCGUAGCAGCCUUUUGUUCCUGCUUCGAAGUUUCUUCGAAAUGGCUUACUGCGAAUCCAUCUUCUACCGAAUGCAAGGCCAAAGAGUAGACCACUAGGAUUGUCCAUAUCUUAGAAGUUAGGUUUUUAGAUUGAAUUGGUGUCCGACUUGAUAUAUAUUAAUCUUAAUUAGUUUGAAUCACACUUAUCAUUAUCUGAUAUCGAAUUCAAUGAGCAAGAUCUUGUUUUUUAUUGGAGGAAGAUUUCUCACUAUAUUUCUGAGUUAGGUUCGUAUCGGUGUCAGCCCUCGGAAUACAGAAUACAAGCAUAGGAUAACGAUGAGAAAGAUAGAGGAUGAAGAUGCUGGAAGAGAAGAACAUAUCUGACUACUAUCUUCUACGAAGACCGGGGAUCGAGUCCGUCAACAUAAAAAACAAAGGAAAAGGAAGGUGUUCAUGGAGUUGGUGCAUGAAUAAGAUCCACUUGCAUCGAUUCCUCAAUCCAUAAAUAUGGAUUACAUAUAGCUCCAUUACAAUCACAGACAAACAAGGCAUGCAAAUAUGGCUAUCGUAAGUAGUUAUCAAUUAUAAUAACCGUUCUAUCAUUCUUUUUAUUCGUCGAUCGAUAAAUAUAGAUCACAUGCGGCUACAUUCCGCUCACGGUUACACCAACCGUAGAAAACGUCGUUGUUGAGUUCGAUCAUUUCCAAGUCUUCCUCCACUUGGAUCUUAAUCUUUUCGCCAUUCGUCGUCUAUAAAUACCACAACCCUAAAGCUCUCACUGCAACAAAGCGUAUAGCACAUCUAGGGUUCAAGAGAGAGAUACAAACGAGAGAAUGAGGUCGGCAAAUUACGCUUCGGCUUUGGUGUGUGCUAUGGCCUUGGCCAUGGCCUGCACCACCCUCGCGCAGAACUCCCCCCAAGACUUCGUGGACGCCCACAACUCGGCCCGGGCGGACGUCGGUGUUGGCCCCGUGUCGUGGGACGACAACGUCGCCGCGUACGCGCAGAACUACGCCAACGAGCGCAUCGGCGACUGCCAGCUCGUGCACUCCGGCGGGCCUUAUGGGGAGAACAUCUUCUGGGGCUCCGGCGCCGACUUCACCGCAGCCGACGCCGUCAACAGCUGGGUCGACGAGAAGCAGUACUACGACUACGACAGCAACUCGUGCGCUGACGGCCAGGUCUGCGGCCACUACACGCAGGUGGUGUGGCGGGACUCGACGGCCAUCGGCUGUGCUCGGGUGCAGUGCAACAGCGGCGCCAUCUUCAUCAUCUGCAACUACAACCCAGCGGGCAACAUCGUGGGGAAGCGCCCUUACUGAGACUACCCCAUCUUACCUUCUUCUUACAUAUAUCUACGAGUUUGCAUGUGAAAUAAGGCCGUACGUCUGCAGUGUUCUGUAAGAACAUGGUGUAUGAGUACGUAUCGGCAAUGUUCCAAAACACGCAUCUUUAUGAUUCACGAAUAAAAUUCAUGUCUUCCAAUGACUUUUUGGUGUAUGAGUAAGUCUGCAGUGUUCUCUAGCCAUCGAGGCCUACUUGCAUAUGCAAAGGGGGGUAAUUGUUGGGGUCAACCCAUGCAUAAAGGCACAAGCAACCAGGAGAGAGGAGGAGCGAUCGAUGGGGUUAACUUACACGCAUAGAUGCUAGUGGUCAAGGGAGAGGAAGGGAUGAACGUCGAGACUAACUCAUGCUUAGAGGCAUAGGCAAUAAAGGGCGGUGACCGAGGCAGUUAACCCCGAUGUGCCUAAAGCCACAGGUGACCAAGGGAGGACGGUUGGCGGGCGGAGAGUAGUAGUUAACAAGGGUAGGAUAGAUCUUUUGAAAAAACAAAAAUGCUAUCUAAUUUAAAAAAAAUUAGAGUGCUAAAAUUCUUAAAUUUAGAGUUUUUUUUUAUUUUUUUAUUUUUUAUUUGAGAAUUCGCCAUGAAAUAUGUAUGGAUAAUUGUGGAAGGAAGAAGAAUUAGCGAAUAAGUGUGAUGAGCAAAGUAGCAGCUGUCCUUGCAACCUGAAACUGAACAUAUACUUCAUCGAUGCGUUCCUCUUUGACCCCAAAAGCCAUUCAAAGACAUGAACUAAUACGUGAAAUAAUAUAACCAUGCAUGUUUGAGUACAUUAAUUGCCUGCGUAUUCAUGCACCAUGUUCUUACAGAACACGGCAGACAGACUCGGGGCUUUAUUUCACAUGCAUGCUCGUAGCUAUAGCUUCCCUCAACAAUGUUACAGGGAAGAAGAUAGGGUGGUCUCAGUAAGGGCGCUCCCCCACGAUGUUGCCCGCCGGGUUGUAGUUGCAGAUGAUGAAGAUGGCGCCGCUGUCGCACUGCACCCGAGCACAGCCAAUGGCCGUCGAGUCCCGCCACACCACCUGCGUGUAGUGGCCGCAGACCUGGCCGUCAGCGCACGAGUUGCUGUCGUAGUCGUAGUACUGCUUCUCGCCGACCCGGCUGUUGACGGCGUCGGCUGCGGUGAAGUCGGCGCCGGAGUCCCAGAAGAGGUUCUCCCCGUAAGGCCCGCCGGAGUGCACGAGCUGGCAGUCGCCGAUGCGCUGGUUGGCGUAGUUCUGCGCGUACGCGACGACGUUGUCGUCUCACGACACAGGGCCAACACCAACGAUCACCCGGGCCGAGUUGUGGGCGUCCACGA